UUAUGCUGAGAACUCGGUCUUCUCUGCUAAGAAGAUGAUCUCUGGAUUUAAAGAACUUCGGGCCUGGGGGAUGAGUCACAAGAGCUGAACAAAUGCUGUUUUGAUGGCAGCUGAGCUAAGUAUUUUGUAACUGUUUCAUAAAAUGAAACACUGGGGAUUUCCUGCUAGUAACUGAAGAAUCAAUAAAUGUCAAACCUAUUGCAAAGAGGUCAGAAAUAAAUUGUGUCUGUCGUUGUCUGAAACUGUGAUUUCUGUCCCUCUUAGAAAUAGAGGGUACAGAUGGGAGAAUAUAUUUUUAAUAGAUUUGAAGGUGCUUGUGGCUGUUUUACUGAAGCACGUGAACCUAUGCUUGAAGGCUUUUUGACAUUGAGUUAUGUGAGCUCCUGACAGUACCCCAUUUGAAUUUGAAGAAGAUGUUGAGCAUCAAAGAAACCCAAUUAAGAGAUGACUUCAAAUAUGACCAGCUGGCCAUCAAGCAAUGAAAAUGUCCUCAUUUCAACUUCAGAUGGAACACCAUCCAAAAA